UACGAAGGGGGCGAGCGUUGUUCGGAAUUACUGGGCGUAAAGGGCGCGUAGGCGGCCCCUUUUGUCGCGUGUGAAAGCCCCGGGCUCAACCUGGGAGGUGCGCGCGAAACGGGGGGGCUUGAGUUCGGGAGAGGAGAGUGGAAUUCCCAGUGUAGAGGUGAAAUUCGUAGAUAUUGGGAAGAACACCGGUGGCGAAGGCGGUUCUCUGGGACGGUACUGACGCUGAGACGCGAAAGCGUGGGGAGCGAACAGG
rnacentral:rRNA from 1 species